AACGCACAUUGCACUUUGGAGAAAUUCCAGAGUAUGCCUCCUUCAGUGUCUAUUUACACAAUACUCUCUGCCGUGUUUGGAAACAAGCGCGUACGCACGAGGACGAUCUGAGAGUCUGCGGCCGCAAGGCCACGUCUCUUGAAGUGUAAGGCGGUGGUUAGGCAACUAACCUCAUUCCUCCAACCCAGCGAUGAAAAGCUUAACGUGUUAACUUUUAUUCGCCAAUGUGACAAUUCGCCUUGUUUGCGAUCUUCCAUUGGCUUGAGUAUGUUGUUGACUGACUAGUUUGACUUGCCUGUACCGGUGUGAAUGGUCGCCAUGAGACGGGGAUCACGCAAGUGGUUGCUCGACUCGUUUUUCAAAUAUUGGACCUGAAGUGAGGUAAGGUUACCCGCUGAACUUAA
rnacentral:misc_RNA from 1 species